rfam:Schistosoma curassoni strain Dakar, Senegal genome assembly, scaffold: SCTD_scaffold0015750
GCACUGCUGAAGAGUCCCACAGCAGGACGAAACGGCUGUCUAGUGC